rfam:Colletotrichum fioriniae PJ7 Scaffold_953.1, whole genome shotgun sequence.
GGCCGGUUGGCCCAAUGGCAAGGCGUCUGACUACGAUUAAGUGGUUAUCAGGAGAUUCUGGGUUCGACCCCCAGGCUGGUCA